rnacentral:rRNA from 1 species
AGAGUUUGAUCCUGGCUCAGAACGAACGCUGGCGGCGUGGAUAAGACAUGCAAGUCGAGCGCUGAUUUGGAGGUAGCAAUAUUUUCAAGUCGGAGCGGCGCAAGGGUGCGUAACACGUGGGAAUCUGCCUUGAAGUGUGGGAUAACUCCGAGAAAUCGGAGCUAAUACCGCAUGUGAUCGUGAGAUCAAAGUUGGGGAUCGCAAGACCUGACGCUUCAAGAUGAGCCCGCGACCUAUCAGCUAGUUGGUGAGGUAAUGGCUCACCAAGGCUAAGACGGGUAGCUGGUCUGAGAGGACGACCAGCCACACUGGAACUGAGACACGGUCCAGACACCUACGGGUGGCAGCAGUCGAGAAUUUUUCUCAAUGGGCGAAAGCCUGAAGGAGCGACGCCGCGUGGGGGAUGAAUGGCUUCGGCCCGUAAACCCCUGUCAUUUGCGAACAAAUUGCAUUACCUAACACGUAAUGCAUUGAUUGUAGCGGAAGAGGAAGGGACGGCUAACUCUGUGCCAGCAGCCGCGGUAAUACAGAGGUCCCAAGCGUUGUUCGGAUUCACUGGGCGUAAAGGGUGCGUAGGCGGCAGGGUAAGUCUGACGUGAAAUCUCCGGGCUCAACCCGGAAACUGCGUUGGAUACUAUCCUGCUCGAGGAAUGGAGGGGAGACUGGAAUACUUGGUGUAGCAGUGAAAUGCGUAGAUAUCAAGUGGAACACCAGUGGCGAAGGCGAGUCUCUGGACAUUUCCUGACGCUGAGGCACGAAAGCCAGGGGAGCAAACGGGAUUAGAUACCCCCGUAGUCC